rnacentral:tRNA from 1 species
GCCCGGGUGGUGGAAUUGGUAGACACGACGGACUUAGGAUCCGUUGCCGCAAGGCGUGAAGGUUCGAGUCCUUUCCCGGGCACCA